UACGGGGGGGGCAAGCGUUGUUCGGAAUUACUGGGCGUAAAGGGCUCGUAGGUGGCCAACUAAGUCAGACGUGAAAUCCCUCGGCUUAACCGGGGAACUGCGUCUGAUACUGGAUGGCUUGAGUUUGGGAGAGGGACGCGGAAUUCCAGGUGUAGCGGUGAAAUGCGUAGAUAUCGGGAAGAACACCCGUGGCGAAGGCGGCUCUCUGGGACGGUACUGACGCUGAGACGCGAAAGCGUGGGGAGCGAACAGG
rnacentral:rRNA from 1 species